GACGAACGCUGGCGGCGUGCUUAACACAUGCAAGUCGAGCGGUAAGGCCCUUUCGGGGGUACACGAGCGGCGAACGGGUGAGUAACACGUGAGCAAUCUGCCCUUCACUUCGGGAUAACCACCGGAAACGGUGGCUAAUACCGGAUAUGACUGCCUUGGGCAUCCGGGGUGGUGGAAAGUUUUUUCGGUGGAGGAUGAGCUCGCGGCCUAUCAGCUUGUUGGUGGGGUGAUGGCCUACCAAGGCGACGACGGGUAGCCGGCCUGAGAGGGUGACCGGCCACACUGGGACUGAGACACGGCCCAGACUCCUACGGGAGGCAGCAGUGGGGAAUAUUGGACAAUGGGCGGAAGCCUGAUCCAGCAACGCCGCGUGAGGGAUGACGGCCUUCGGGUUGUAAACCUCUUUCAGUACCGACGAAGCGCGAGUGACGGUAGGUACAGAAGAAGCGCCGGCCAACUACGUGCCAGCCGCCGCCGUAAAAC
rnacentral:rRNA from 1 species